ensembl:lncRNA
CCGCCCCUGCUCGUGGUACAACUCAAUAAUAUAAUAUAAGUGAAAACCAAGCUUGCGCGUCUUCCCUUGUGUGGGCUGUCCACUAGGUGGCAGUAUUUCCUCAUCAAUAACUACUAAAGCUACUGAAUCUAGCAUUUCCUAGAGAAGGCAGAACAGCAGAAGUUUGCCAGACUCUUUGAACGCUUUAAUUUUUGUAAUAAUGCUGUCAUCACCUUCAAUGGCAUUGUGGGAUAUUUUUUAUGUUAAGGUAAAUAUGGAAUGGACUGGGUCUCAGCGCAAGGUACAGUACAGGAAUAGAUAAGGACACUUGUACCAGAUAAGGACAUGUUUACAGUAAGGAACUCUUAGAAUAGCAAGAAGUGCCAAGUAUACAGUAGACAAGAAGUCUGGCUCUCUGAAGAGACAGUUGUCAGGUCAAAGGUGGCCUCAGUAAAUAUACCCCCUGCUGGUAGUCGAUACAAGACCUAAUACAGAUGAUUAGGGUAAUUAAUAUGGGACAACGCCCCACAAGAACAAGCUUAAAUAGUACCAAGAAACCAGUACAUGCGCUGAGAUCGAGCUUGACCAUGGAUGUCUCCUUAUUGUGACAUUAACGAUUACAAUAAAUACUAUCAGAUUUUCUUCACAAUCAGUCUCAGAAAAUAUAUUGACAAACAAAAAGAAAUGGAAUGAUCAGCCACGACAUAUUUGGCACCCCAGAUGGGACUGAUCAGAAAAAGAUCCGAAGGGGGAACCGCUUGACCCAAGGCACCUAAAUUAAAAAAAACGGUAAGCAGAAUAAUUUUUGUUGAGUCAAUAGGAAAACCCUAUCCUGGACAAAAUUCUUCAGACAAAAACCCUGUAAUGAGACUGAGUGUGUAAAAUCUGAAAGUAAUUAGGAAAAACUGUUCGUUUUAUGAAUUGCAUGUGAAUUGCAUGUGAAAAUAAUCGGAAAAGAUUAUUAAAGGCGUUCGAGGAACGACCUGAGAAAAAGGAAAACCAGGAGUUUUUCCGUGUGUCUAGGAAAAAGUUAGGCAUAACUUAUUAGACACAGCAUGUGUUGCAUGUGAAAAUAAUCGGAAAAGAUUAUUAAAGGCGUUCGAGGAACGACCUGAGAAAAAGGAAAACCAGGAGUUUUUCCGUGUGUCUAGGAAAAAGUUAGGCAUAUCUUAUUAGACACAGCAUGUGUUGCAUGUGUAGCAUGAGAAAAUAAUCUGAUACAAUUAUUUAGGUAAUCAGGGGUUGCCGUGAAAAAAGGCAGGGCCUUUAAUAUAUUCAUUUACUAAAGAAAGUGGUAAAUGGUGAGUAGAAAAUUGUGUGUAAAGAAAGGGGUCUUCCUUGUCAAUUGGAAGAUUUGGAAAAACAACUUGUUGAGUUGUGAUAAAUGUUUGGUAUGUCAGUAAGUACUGAUAUUGGUCAUUGUAUGAAGAAAAGUGAAGUUGAAUGAUUGGUUGAUGUAUGUGCUAAAUAAGUUUUGUUUUUCAGGAAAUAACAGUUCUGUGAAGAAGUGAGAAUUGUGAUCUGUAAAACAUUUCACUUGAAAAACUGUCAUUGAAUAUCCCUUUAAAGGUAAUUUCGUGACUAACAAAGGAAGCACAGGAAAGACAGAUUGUGACAAGUACGUGUGAUAUAGGAAUAAAUAUUAAGUUGGAAUACGUUUAGAUGGGAAAAGUAAGUAGCACAGGAACAGAUUGUGACAUAGUACAUGUGAUAUAGGAGUAAAUCAAGAUAUUAGACUGUUAGGAUAAUUGUUGUAAAUACUUGUGACUAAGGUUGCAAAAGUGUGUGUGAUCAUAUGAAAGUUAGACGUGGAAAUACGAAAUGGUGUGAAAUAUAUAUGCGGAUGCAUACGCGUAAAAUAUUGAAUAACAUCGUAAUUAACAUCAUUCAAAGUAUUGUAAUUUGACCAUAAUAACUGAUCAACUUUGACUUCUUUGGCAAUCAUUGUGAGUUCACGGGAGAGUCGCUCCCUAGAGAGAGAAAGGGAGACAGACGAGGAAGGAAACGGGUGGGGGCUAUUCCAAGCCCACAAGCCUGAGUGCGUGGUAAAGGAGGGGCUGUUAUGCGCAUUUGAGCCACAAGUGAAUUUCUGCAUACACAAGUAGAACCGAGAGUAGAAGGGAAUAAUAUAAUACAAAUAAUUCUGUGGUAAUUUCUGGACUUAAAAAUGGCUUUGGUAGACACAGAACAAAUUACACCGUUGGAGGAGAUAAGUAAAUUGUACUCAUCAGAGGCGAGUAUUAUUGAAAAAAUUAGUAAAAAGUGGAGUGAUCGUACUAAGAAUGAUGCGAACCCGUGGCCAAAGAACGGCUCUUGGGAUCUCAAGUUGAUUCUGCAAAUGGAAGGAAAAAUAUAUGAUCAUAAGCAUAGAAAGAUAAAUGAAAUAAGAGAAGUUAAAAGAAGAGUUGACUCACGGUUUAGAACAAAGGUUUGGGCAGAUGAUGAACAAUAUGAGUACGGCAAUAAAUUAAAUAUCCUGUAAAUUGGGAGAAAUAGAGGAAGGAUCAGGUAUUCUGCAAAAGAAUGACCAGCUUGGAAGUGUAACGAUACGAGCCAUGCUAUUGCUCAGCUUACAGAACAGGGG